UACGAGGGGCUCAAGCGUUAUCCGGAUUUACUGGGCGUAAAGGGUGUGUAGGGGGUCUUGUUAGUCCGCUGUUAAAGACUCACGCUCAACGUGAGAAAUGCGGUGGAAACGGCAAGGCUUGGAGGAUGCCAGAGGCAAACGGAACUCUAAGUGUAGGGGUGAAAUCCGUUGAUAUUUAGGGGAACACCAAAGGCGAAGGCAGUUUGCUGGGGCAUUCCUGACCCUGAAACACGAAAGCGUGGGGAUCAAAAAGG
rnacentral:misc_RNA from 1 species